rnacentral:rRNA from 1 species
AGCAGCCGCGGUAAUUCCAGCUCCAAUAGCGUAUAUUAAAGUUGUUGCAGUUAAAAAGCUCGUAGUUGAAUUUCGGGAUCAAUUUAUUGGUCGUGCUAUUGUACGUACUGGUAUUAUUGAUUCCUACCUUCUGACGAACCAUGAUGUCAUUAAUUUGGUGUCUUGGGGAAUCAGGACUGUUACUUUGAAAAAAUUAGAGUGUUUAAAGCAGGCUCACGCUUGAAUACAUUAGCAUGGAAUAACGAAAUAGGACGUUUGAUUCUAUUUUGUUGGUUUCUAGGAUCGACGUAAUGAUUAAUAGGGAUAGUUGGGGGCAUUAGUAUUCAAUUGUCAGAGGUGAAAUUCUUGGAUUUAUUGAAGACUAACUACUGCGAAAGCAUUUGCCAAGGAUGUUUUCAUUAAUCAAGAACGAAAGUUAGGGGAUCGAAGACGAUCAGAUACCGUCGUAGUCUUAACCAUAAACUAUGCCGACUAGGGAUCGGAUGAUGUUAAUUUUUAAUGACUCAUUC